CCAAUAGCGUAUAUUAAAGUUGUUGCAGUUAAAAAGCUCGUAGUUGAACCUCAGGCCUGGCUGGGCGGUCCGCCUUCCGGGUGAGUACUGCCUGUGGUCGGGUCCUACCUUCUGGCGAAGCGUCAUGGCCUUAACCGGCCGUGGCGGGGAACCAGGACUUUUACUGUGAAAAAAUUAGAGUGUUCAAAGCAGGCACGCGCUUGAAUACAUUAGCAUGGAAUAAUGGAAUAGGACAGUGGUUCUAUUUGUUGGUUUCUAGGACCGUUGUAAUGAUUAAUAGGGAUAGUUGGGGGCAUUAGUAUUCAAUUGUCAGAGGUGAAAUUCUUGGAUUUAUUGAAGACUAACUACUGCGAAAGCAUUUGCCAAGGAUGUUUUCAUUAAUCAAGAACGAAAGUUAGGGGAUCGAAGACGAUCAGAUACCGUCGUAGUCUUAACCAUAAACUAUGCCGACUAGGAAUCGGGCGAUGUUGACAAAAUGACGCGCUCGGCACCUCAUG
rnacentral:rRNA from 1 species